GAAAGCUUUUCGGAUAGCGCCUGAUGUUUUGCGACUUGUGAAUCGGAGGGAUUCGAUUGUUAGGCAUGCUGAAGCAGUCGUGUCUCAGAGGUUGACUGGUGAUGCUUAUAAGGGUUUCAAACAUCCGAACCAAACCACUCCUGGUUUGUUUGGAAAACCGAAGGUUCGUCGUAGACCCUUCCAGUGUGUCAGCGUUGGUUUUGUUGGUUCACUGCCCAGGUCUCGACGGAAAGUGUUUGAAGUGGAUAGGCAAUUGAGGAAAUCUCACUUGCGAGAUGAUUGUUGUGAUAGGCGUCUGAGAGACGUAGUGUUUAAAGAGGAUGAUGUGGUUUGGCGGAGCACGCACGUUCGUAGCGUAACUCCGAGAUUUAAAAAAAAAUGUAGGGUAGAUUGAAGUUUUGUUGAGGUGUUAGUUUUUUUUGUUGUGUAUUGUGAUGGUUUUGUUUCUGUAAGAUAGGAUGAUGCUGGAGGGCCAGCGUGAAUUUUUCUCGUUAUACUCGUAAAAUUCUGGUGGGUGAGGGGGUACUGUAACACUUUUUUUUUUGGCAAGAUUGAAUACUUACCGAUUUCCACAAACAAACAUUCCAACGGACCGUAAGGUCACAUAUUACAAAGUGCGCAGUAUUUCCUUUGUCACUUGAUUGUGUCAUUGUUAGUGAUUCACUGAGUUUUGAUUAACUUCUAUUAAAAUUAAUUACAUUGUUUUGGUACACAGAGCAAUAAAUAACCUCACUUUUUGAAUGUCUCCGUUUGACAGAUCAAUGCGUUACGUUCCAUUCUUUUAGUAUAGAAGAAAUGUAUAAUGAAAUUAAAUAUUCAACACUAAAUUUUUAUAAAACUUAAUAUUUAGGCUCUUUAAUUUAAAUUCUAGCUAUUUCUAGUAUUUUCCUCAAUGUUUAUAUUAAAAUAACAUUGUAAUGUAUCUUGAUCGAUCAUGGGUUCGGAACGUUCUAGAAAUUUGACAUAUUCUGAGCGAAACGAAACGCGCGGGAGACGGUCCGAAUACUAUGAGUGACGUUUCUUCUGUUUCUAAAAGUUAAAUAAAUUAAUUAAAUUUAAAUCGGAGGAGCAGUUUUGUGAGUUCUCAUAUCAAAAUUAUUCAAUAAGAGGCUGGUUGACUCAAAUAGAACUUAUUAGAAAAAGAAAUAAAAAAUAAAAACGAAGAAACAUUUUUAUGGUUUGUUAUUGUUGGGUUCGAUUCGGACCACAAGUCACGGGUGAUGACCGGCGCUUUUUGGAGUAGCUUUCUCUCUUUGCUCUGCUGGCCGCGGUCGUGAACAGAAGUUUUGUAGUGUGUGGUGUUGUGGCCUUCUGAGUCGGCCCUAAAUGUGCCAUUCCCAACUCAAACGGGCAGGGCACGCAGAUUAUUGUUGUUGAAAUAAAGGAAUUCCGGUUGGACACCGAAAUCCCGCUGUUCGCCGAUUUUGUGGACUCACUGCCACGUGCUGAGUUUUAUUACUGUUGAAGAUUGUGUGUGGUUGGGCAGUGCUCGGUGGCGAGCCUCUGCGCUGUCUGCUGUUGCUGUCUAUUGUUGCUGUCUGUUGUUGCUGACGUUGCCUCCAUAGCAGGUGACGAUGGUGCCUGAGAGUCGUUCCCCGACCAUGACUGGCCGAUAUGUACACUACCGAGGCCGUCCACCGCGGUCCUGGGCUACCCUACUUCAUAAGGUUGGUUCCGUUUUCUAUUGAGCUUGUCAAUUAUUUUAGUUUACUUUGAAAAAGUAGAUUACCCACAAUGAUUACAUUUUACCAAAAAGUAAAUUCUUAAAUAAAUUUACCAUUGUGAAGUAUUAUCAAUGGAUUUUGUUGUGUUAACUAUUUUUAGUUCGCUUUGUGAAGGUCGAUGAUGUAAUAAUUACAAAGAUUACAUUUUACCAAAAUGUUAGUUCCUAAAUAAAUUUACCAUUGUGAAGUAUUAUCAAUGGAUUUUGUUGUGUUAACUAUUUUUAGUUCGCUUUGUGAAGGUCGAUGAUGUAAUAAUUACAAAGAUUACAUUUUACCAAAAUGUUAGUUCCUAAAUAAAUUUACCAUUGUGACGUAUUAUCGAUGGAUUUUGUCGUGUAAACUAUUUUUUGUUCGCUUUGUGAAGGUGGACGACGUAAUAAUUAUGAUGAUUACAUUUUACCAGAUGUUACCUUCUAAAUCGAUUUACCAGUGUAAUGAAUUACCGUUGGAUUUUGCUGGAUUCACAUUUGCUCCACCCUUGAGAGCGAUGGAUUGUUUUUUUGUGUCGUAGUAAUUUAACUGAGCGAACACAAGUAAAUUAAUUUCUUUGUAUUAAUAUGCCUAUUAUUACCUGUUUAAGCUGUAGGGUAUUAAUGCACCAGUGGUGCACUUACUGUAUCGAUAUUUUUAUAAUAAUAUAUUUUUUUUGUA